GUGGAUGUCAACAGGAUGAGCCCCAGGGGAGGUGGUUGGUCCCCAAGGCCAGAGGCUGCCUGUCAGGAGGGUCUGCAGCACCCAAAUGCUGGGUUCAGCAUCCAGGUCGUGCCCCACAUCAUCCUUCCAGAAACUUGAGGGAAGACAUGCAUGAGAAGCCGCUUCCAAGUCUCAGAUGGGACCUGGAGCAAGUCUCCUCUGGCACCGUUGGGUCCUCUGAAGAGAGCUGGCAAGUUGAACAACCUAUGGGACAAGCGCGUCCGCUCAAAACAAAGCUGCAAAGAUCUCAUGUGCUGUCUCUCUCUUUUUCUGUUUUUCUUUCUUUUUUUUAAAAUUGAAAUAUAAUGUAUGCAUUUUAAA
ensembl:lncRNA